rnacentral:rRNA from 1 species
UUAUGCCCAGGGCUACACACGUCCUACAGUGGCCGUUACAAUGGGAAGCUACAUCGCGAGGUGAUGCCAAUCCUGUAAAAGCGGCCAUGGUUCGGAUUGCAGGCUGCAACUCGCCUGCAUGAAGAUGGAAUCGCUAGUAAUCACUGAUCAGCAUGCAGUGGUGAAUACGUUCCCGGGUCUU